rnacentral:lncRNA from 1 species
AUCUUGCAGGCGACGGCGAGUCUCUGCUGUGCUCUGAGCAGGACUGGACGAAAUGAUUAGAUGCGCCUGCUGAAAUGUUACUCAGGCUGAAGGAGGAGGCACCGCCGCGCAUCUCUGAAGGUGUGGCUGAAGCUGUAAAGCCUGGAGGAAGGAGAACCAUGAGGUUGCAGGUUCACUCCCUGGCCUCGCUCAGUGGGUUAAGGAUCCGGUGUUGCCCUGAGCUGUGGUGUAGGUCACAGACACAGCUUGGAUCUGGUGCAGCUACAGUUCCGAUUAAACCCUUAGCCUGGGAACUUCCACAUGCCAUGGGUGCGGCCCUAAAAAGACAAAAAAUAAAUAAAUAAAUAAAUAAAAAUUAAAAUAAAAUAAAAUAAAAUAAAAAGAGGUCAAGUUAAAACUCUGUCCAAACUCUUCAUUAAAGCAAAGCAAAGCAAAACAACCUGGCAUCAUAUUACAAGAGGAGUAAAACUGCCAGUAAUUGCAUUCAGAGAUUCUCCAGAAAACAAUCUAGAUGAGAAAAAAAAUAGCUUUGUUCAAAGAUAUUUUUAACUUUACUCCUCAAAUAGCCAACAAAUGAAAAUAAUCAAGAUGUCUAAAAAUAAGGGAUGGUUUAAGCCAAAGAGCAUCUAUCAACAUGAGUAAGCACUACACACAUAUUAAAACAACUUGUAGCCAUAACUACCCCCAUACACUACGGGGAUGGGGGGACUUCAGAACAAUAUACAUACACAAUGCCUACAACCAUAAGCGCCUGCCAUGUGUCAGGCUUGAUGCUGGGUUUUGAGGACACAAAAACAAGCCGGAAGUGGCCCCCGGCCUCCCAGAUCUCAUAGUCCACUGGGAAGCCAGACUCCCACAGUUCCAACAACAUGAAGGGGGCCAAAUGAGGUUGAGCACCCCGAGAGCCGGGAAAAUGCCUUAGCCAACCCAGAGCCAACACACACAACACACACAUGGACGUUCGAAUCAGGGGCAGAACUCAGUCACAGAUCUGGGCCACCCCAAAAACCCACUGAUCGGGUUAGAUUAUCCUCGACAUGAAAACAGAAGUUGUAGGAGUUCCCAUCAUGGUGCAGAGGAAACGAACCCGACCAGGAACCAUGAGGUUGCGGGUUCGAUCCCUGGCCUCGCUCAGUGGAUUAAGGAUCUGGCGUUGCCAUGAGCUGUGGUGUAGGUCACAAGUGCGGCUGGACCCUGCAUUGCUGUGGCCGUGGCGUAAGCUGGCACCUGUAGCUCCAAUUAGACCCCUAGCCUGGGAACCUCCAUAUGCCGCAGGUGGCAGGUGCGGCCCUAAAAGGAC